UAUUAAUUGUCUUACUACUAAAAGAAUUGCCAGUGAGUCUGUCUUUUGGUUAAGAAAUUUGUGGUUUAUGUAUUCAAAAUUAUUAUGGGAGGUUGCACUAGCUAGCUUUCCUUAGAAAACAGAGUGUUUGUCACUCCCUUCAAAAGGUGAGGUGCAUUCUUUAUUUUUAAAAUAAGAGCCCUCUGUUGUAGGACGGGUUUAUGCUCAAUCAACCCAUCAAAUGGGUCUACAAUUUUGGAACCUCAAAUUAAAAUUCUCAAGAUGGGAAUACACUAAUAUUGCUAUGAACAAUGCUAAAUAUGUAAUGUCUUGAUUUCUUGUCUGGAACUGUAUUGAGCUGUCUAUGUUGGCCUAACAACUUCAGUGGAGGUUAAUUGAAUUUUUGGAUCUUGAGUUUAUGUAGAAAUCUGAUUUGGCCAAAUUAAAAUCAUGUUAACUAGGCGGUGCAGGUUUGUUUGGUGUACUCAUAAGAAUUAUUUGAUUUUAAGUGCCCGAUGGCAAUCACAUGUUGUCAAUUAAAAUUCCAGUUAUUUUUAACAUACACUCAUUACUGACUUCCUUUAAUUAUUGGGCUUUAGCUGUGUUUUAGGAAACAGAAAUAAUUUAACAAGUGUACAACAUUGGCAGCCCUUGAAGAUGAUAGGAGGAAACAUAAGCAAACAGGGAGCGGCUGCAAAAUACAGAGCUUAAUGGAGAGAUAGUUGAAGCAAGAGGAUAGCAAUGCUGAACUGACAAGGUUAUUGCUUCCAGCAUAAGCUGGGAAGAGGAAGCCAUGACAAGGUGCAGCAGUUCAUGGUCAUAACUGGCGCAAGGUAUAAUUAUCUUUAAUAUGUGGACUGGGAUGUGGUGAUGACAUAGCUAAGCAGUCAGUUGGUAACUAGCAAAGAACUUUGCAAUACAAUACAGUAAUAUCAGUGUUGAACUUAUUGAAUCUAUCGUUUGGGCUCAUAUACUGCAAAACAACUGAGAACUGGAAGUCUUGAAGUGCAUCUGAGUUACUGUUUUUAAGGACCUAGGAGUCAAAAAUACUGCCCAGGAAUAUGAAUUAACUUGUUCCACCAAAUGCCUAGACAACAUUUGCUAAUACAUCGUUGGAUGUCAACAUAAAAGAGUACUUAGGAGCCCUACCAAAUUCUAGAAGGAGUCCAGUUGUCACAAUUUUAUUUUCUUCCUUAGAACAGCAAGUGAUUGUGUUAUCUGAUGAGAUGCAGCGAGACGGUUGCCCUUCAGGCUAGCGAUUGGCACUUGGAAGAAGCCCAAAGAAAUAAAAUAUAUGCCACAAUUCAACAUUGAAUACAAUGUUUUUAGUAUUAUAUUUUUUGCUGGCAUUUGUUUUUACAUGUUUGGGAAAUCUUCUUUCCUUCAAAUUUUUGUUUCUUUCUAUUUUAUCUUCUUUCAUUGAAUGGGUUGCCAAGUGUGCAAAACUGCACCAAAUUCAUCAUAAAACUACUUUAGGCAACUGGUGAGCCCUGGCAACAUCAGUGCAUGAGCAUGCCGAUGAUCACAACGUCCCGCAAUUUCGCGCGUCCACAUGUAAUGUGAAAACCCCAGACCAUCUGAUCUCCCUUUCUUCCUUCAGACCUGAGCGACCGCCAUGGGAAAGCUUAACAGUUGAACUUUCUGAAACAUUAGUUUCCUAUUUGGCCUACCCAUUAUGAUAUAUAUUUGAAUGUUAGCUUAUGUUAUCCGUCCAUAUUUUUUAAUUCUCUUUGCCAUAUAAUAGAAGUACAUUCAGAUUUUAUAGAUCAUAUUUACAUCACCAAUGUGGUUCUCGUCUACCAUCCACAGGCAAGACACUUAAUAUAGCUGGUUGAUAGGAUUCUUGAAUAUCUAGAUCAAUUGUGUUGAGUUAGCGAGUGCAUUUCCAUGUAAAGAAUUUACUGGCAUAACUCCUGAGUGCCUUUUGUUCUUCUUAGCAAUAUCGACAAUGUAUAGUUUCGAGUACCCAUUUCACUGUAAGGGUGUCACUUCCUAAGUUCUCUUCUUUGUCCUGCUUUUAAGUUCACAGAAAAGACAACAUCUUUCUUAGGAAUUUCAACAAGAUGUCAGCGCCCACUAGCCGAGGGAGAAUACUGGCAUCUCCUCCAGCCCUUUAGGUUGAUAUUGUUACAUGAGUUGCAUGCUUAUGUGUUUUCCUAAUUCUAUUUCUUGAUCUUUGAUCUGACCAGUAUGCAAUGUAACAUGCACUUAUGCUAACUCACUACUAAUUACCCUAGAUGAAAUAAUAAGUUGAAACUGAUCUAUAUUUUCUGGAAUAUAGAGAAACUAUAUUGCAACCUGAUCUUACAUAAUUAUUUGAACAGUAGGCAUGUUAAGGAUGUCAAACUGAUUUGUUACCAUCAAUGUCAAACUGUUUAUACUAGCAUAAGUCUAGACGUAUUUUCCGUUUUUUUCUGGCCUCUGAUACUAAUUUAAAUUGUGAUCUUACAUCAAGCUGCCCUGCAGAUGUAUGUAGAACGCAAUAUUAACAUAGAUGUAAAAUUGUUCAUAUGGGCAUCAUUAUAGCAUUGGUCCAUUCUUCUAUUUUCAUGCCUCUGAUACUAAUUUCAGGUACAAUUUUGAGAUCGGUGUUAAAGAAAAUAUGUAGCAUACAGGGCAUCUCGGAGGACGGCACGGCCAUUGCAGACCUAUGGGGGUCGGUGUUGGCCUCAGAGAGGCUCAAUGGCAUUCGUCCGGAGAGCUGCAUCCUGCCGGUGUUGUGGCCGGGGAGCCGAGGAUGAUAUCGUGUAUAUAUAUUGGGUGGGGUUCCCAUGUAAGUCUUCUGGCCCCUCCAAAACUGGAUUCUUCUAAAAUGUUGUUUGGAUCUAGGAGUUAGUCUGUCGGUGAGUGGCUCGGUCUAGAGCUGCUUAAAGUCUCAAUCUCGCUGUUUGAAAGAAAGAUAUGUGAGGCUCUGGUGGCAGUCAUAUACCAUUUUUUCUGUGAAAUUUAUGAUAGUUAA